UGGGGAAUUUUGGACAAUGGGCGAAAGCCUGAUCCAGCACUGCCGCGUGUGUGAAGAAGGCCUUCGGGUUGUAAAGCACUUUUGUCCGGAAAGAAAUGGCUCUGGUUAAUACCUGGGGUCGAUGACGGUACCGGAAGAAUAAGGACCGGCUAACUACGUGCCAGCAGCCGCGGUAAUACGUAGGGUCCAAGCGUUAAUCGGAAUUACUGGGCGUAAAGCGUGCGCAGGCGGUUGUGCAAGACCGAUGUGAAAUCCCCGAGCUUAACUUGGGAAUUGCAUUGGUGACUGCACGGCUAGAGUGUGUCAGAGGGGGGUAGAAUUCCACGUGUAGCAGUGAAAUGCGUAGAGAUGUGGAGGAAUACCGAUGGCGAAGGCAGCCCCCUGGGAUAACACUGACGCUCAUGCACGAAAGCGUGGGGAGCAAACAGG
rnacentral:rRNA from 1 species